rnacentral:rRNA from 1 species
UGUUUCAGAGGGAAUAGACGGCCCCGUCAAACGGGCCGCCCCCGCCAGAGGACCCUUAACUCUGUUUCUAUAAUGUUUCUUCUGAGUAAAACAAGCAAAUAAAUUAAAACUUUCAACAACGGAUCUCUUGGCUCUGGCAUCGAUGAAGAACGCAGCGAAAUGCGAUAAGUAAUGUGAAUUGCAGAAUUCAGUGAAUCAUCGAAUCUUUGAACGCACAUUGCGCCCGCCAGUAUUCUGGCGGGNAUGCCUGUUCGAGCGUCAUUACAACCCUCAGGCCCCCGGGCCCGGCGUUGGGGAUCGGCGGAGCCCCCCGUGGGCAUACGCCGUCCCUCAAAUACAGUGGCGGUCCCGCCGCAGCUUCCAUCGCGUAGUAGCUAACACCUCGCGACUGGAGAGCGGCGCGGCCACACCGNAAAACACCCAACUCUUCUGAAGUUGACCUCGAAUCAGGUAGGAAUACCCGCUGAACUUAAGCAUAUCAAUAAGCGGAGGAA